AACGCGAAGAACCUUACCCAGGCUCGAAAUGCAAAGCGAGGCAGUAGAGAUAUUGUCGCCCGUAAGGGGUUUUGUAUAGGUGCUGCAUGGCUGUCGUCAGCUCGUGCCGUGAGGUGUUGGGUUAAGUCCCGCAACGAGCGCAACCCUUAUCAUUAGUUGCCAACACUUAGGGUGGGGACUCUAAUGAGACUGCCUAGGUUAACUAGGAGGAAGGUGAGGAUGACGUCAAGUCCGCAUGGCCUUUAUGUCUGGGGCUACACACGUGCUACAAUGGUCGGUACAGACGGCUGCGAAAUCGCGAGAUGAAGCAAAUCCUAAAAAGCCGAUCUCAGUUCAGAUUGUAGUCUGCAACUCGACUACAUGAAGUUGGAAUUGCUAGUAAUGGCGUGUCAGCAACAGCGCCGUGAAUACGUUCCCGGGCCUUGUA
rnacentral:rRNA from 1 species